rnacentral:rRNA from 1 species
UACGAAGGGGGCUAGCGUUGCUCGGAAUCACUGGGCGUAAAGGGUGCGUAGGCGGGUCUUUAAGUCCGGGGUGAAAUCCUGGAGCUCAACUCCAGAACUGCCUUUGAUACUGAGGAUCUUGAGUUCGGGAGAGGUGAGUGGAACUGCGAGUGUAGAGGUGAAAUUCGUAGAUAUUCGCAAGAACACCAGUGGCGAAGGCGGCUCACUGGCCCGAUACUGACGCUGAUGCACGAAAGCGUGGGGAGCAAACAGG